rnacentral:lncRNA from 1 species
AAUGAUGGCCCAAGUUGUCUGGGCUGCAUGGGGGUCUCCCAAGCCUGUUUCCUUGGUCCGUCUGGCCCUCUCCUAAACGCACCGUUUUGGGGCUCUGGGGACUCCCUCAAACGACGUCGUUUAGGCGUCAACCUUUUGAAUUCUUCACUCCACUGAAACGACGCCGUUUAGACCCUAAACUCGGGUAUAUAAAUCUCAUUUUCGGCCUUUCUUCUCAUUUUCAGAUUUCAUUUUCUCUCUCUAGCUGCACCCUCUCCCUUCUCACUAGAAAAAGCCUUUCCUCCUUCGCCGGCGUAGGCGUCCCGUCUUCUCUUCCCCCGAAUCUCUCGUCGGUUUCCUCACACCCUCUCUUGAAACCCUCUUCCCUUCCGAUCGACAAAUCGGGCACCUCUUUUGCCUUCGGUUGGCGGUGACCCAAACGGGUUUAGGCUUUCUCACGUCGGUGACCGGCACUCCACAGAUCCAACCUUCCCUUCACCGCUCACCGAUCUCUCUCCCUCAAGUCGAACCGAAUCCCCCGGUUGAAACCCUGAUUCGAUUUUUGGCUCCCUCUUUUUGAUUUUUUUGAUUUUUUUAUUUUGUGUGGCUAGGUAGCUGCUGGUAGAUCUAGGAUUUUUUUUUUGUUCUGUUCCCCCCUUCUUUUGGAUCUUGCAAGUUGUCUUUAAAGAGCUGGAUUGUCCAAAAACUUGGACAACCCGGUGAGGGGGUUCUGGCACCAGGGAGUUGGUGGCCAGAACCCCACAUGCGUGAUGGUUGGGGAAGGGAUGGGGAAAGGAUGGCUGGGCGUACUCCCAACCAUCCCUUUUUUUUGUAUUUUUAUAUUUUAGUUUAUUUUAUUAUAAUUUAAAAUUAUUUAUUUAUUUAUUAUUAUUAUAUAUAUUUUUUAGGUGUCUACACUUUACAAAUCUUUUAUUAAUUAAACUUAAAAGCUUAUAAAAAAUUAAAUGCUAAAUAAAUUUUAUCUUUUUAUGUGUACAAUGAUUCAGCGGAAAGAGUAGAACAACCUAAACAAAAGAAAUGGCAAGAAAUGCAUAUAGCAAAAGAAAUAGGAAACGAUCACCAUAGUUAGACAUAUCAGACAGUCGUAUAACAGUUUGAUCAUUUGGUUUAACGAAAAUAAGAGCUUUUUUCUUAACCAUUCGAUUUGGUUAUGGGAUUCCUUGUCUAUUAUUUUAUUAUCUCUUUUACUUAAGGAAUUGUUGCUAUUAUAUAUACUACUGACAUAAAUAUGGUUGUUUCUUUCUCCAUGUAAAUAUAAACAAAAAAUAUGGUUUUACUUGAAAUUUGUGAGUCAAAGCAUAUCUUACAAGUAACGUAUAAACAAUGAAAACCUGC